AACGGAGAAUUAGGGUUCGAUUCCGGAGAGGGAGCCUGAGAAACGGCUACCACAUCUACGGAAGGCAGCAGGCGCGUAAAUUACCCCAAUCCUGAUUCAGGGAGGUAGUGACAAGAAAUAACAACUCGGGGGCCUCACGGCUUACGAGAUUGCAAUGAGAACAAUUUAAAUCUCUUAGCGAGGAACAAUUGGAGGGCAAGUCUGGUGCCAGCAGCCGCGGUAAUUCCAGCUCCAAUAGCGUAUAUUAAAGUUGUUGCAGUUUAAAAAGCUCGUAGUUGAAUUUCUGAUUAUGGAUGUAGCGGUUUCCGUUACAUUUGUAGUCAUCCACAUGAGAACCUUUCUCGGCCUUCACUGGUCGGUUGGGGGAUCAUGUACUUUACUUUGAAAAAAUCAGAGUGUUUCAGGCAGGCGUUUGCAUGAAUACACAAGCAUGGAAUAAUGGAAUAGGACUAGGGUCCAUUUUAUUGGUUAUUGGACCAUAGUAAUGAUUAAUAGGGACAGUUGGGGGC
rnacentral:rRNA from 1 species